GUACACGACCAUAGCGAAGGGGUAAUACCCGGUCCCAUUCCGAACCCGGCAGUCAAGCCCUUCUGCGUCGCUCCUGGUACUGUGGUGCGAGAGCCCACGGAAACGGUCGUCGUUGUGUCGC
rnacentral:rRNA from 2 species